AUUUUAAAUGGCUGCAGUAAUUUGACUGUACAAAGGUAGCAUAAUCAUUAGUUUUUUAAUUAAAAGCUUGUAUGAAAGGUUGGACGAGGUAAAAUCUGUCUCUUUUUAAUAUAAUUAGAAUUUAAUUUUUAAGUAAAAAAGCUUAAAUUUUUAUAAAAGACGAGAAGACCCUAUAGAGUUUAAUAAUUAAAAUAAGAUAAUUAAUUUAGAUUUAUUAAUUUUAUUUUAUUUAAAUUAUUUUAUUGGGGUAAUAAAAAGAUUUAGGAAAUUCUUUUUUUUAAAACCAUUAAUUUAUGAUUAUAUGAUCCAUUAAUAAUGAUUAUAAGAUUAAAUUACCUUAGGGAUAACAGCGUAAUUUUUUUAAAGAGUUCUUAUCGAUAAAAAAGUUUGCGACCUCGAUGUUGGAUUAAAGAUUAAUUUAGGUGUAGAAGUUUAAAUAUUUGGUCUGUUCGACCAUUGAAUCUUUACAUGAUCUGAGUUCAAACCGGUGUAAGCCAGGUUGGUUUCUAUCUUUAUUUUUUUUUUAUAUUUUAGUACGAAAGGACCAAAUAUAAAAUAUAUUAAUAUUUAAUUUUUGAAUAUUAUUAAUUUAAUUAUUUUGGCAGAUUAGUGUGAUGAAUUUAGAAUUCAUUUAUGUAAAUAUUUACAAAUAAUACUUGUUUAUAAAAGAUUUAAUUAUUUCUUUUAUUUUUAUAUUUUUAUUAAUUAUUUGUGUUUUAGUAGGGGUAGCUUUUUUAACUUUAUUAGAAC
rnacentral:rRNA from 1 species